UGGGGAAUUUUGGACAAUGGGCGAAAGCCUGAUCCAGCAAUGCCGCGUGUGUGAAGAAGGCCUUCGGGUUGUAAAGCACUUUUGUCCGGAAAGAAAUCCUUGGCUCUAAUACAGUCGGGGGAUGACGGUACCGGAAGAAUAAGCACCGGCUAACUACGUGCCAGCAGCCGCGGUAAUACGUAGGGUGCAAGCGUUAAUCGGAAUUACUGGGCGUAAAGCGUGCGCAGGCGGUUUGCUAAGACCGAUGUGAAAUCCCCGGGCUCAACCUGGGAACUGCAUUGGUGACUGGCAGGCUAGAGUAUGGCAGAGGGGGGUAGAAUUCCACGUGUAGCAGUGAAAUGCGUAGAGAUGUGGAGGAAUACCGAUGGCGAAGGCAGCCCCCUGGGCCAAUACUGACGCUCAUGCACGAAAGCGUGGGGAGCAAACAGGAUUAGAUACCCUGGUAGUCCACGCCCUAAACGAUGUCAACUAGUUGUUGGGGAUUCAUCUCCUUAGUAACGUAGCUAACGCGUGAAGUUGACCGCCUGGGGAGUACGGUCGCAAGAUUAAAACUCAAAUGAAUUGACGGGGUCAUAGCUG
rnacentral:rRNA from 1 species